AAAUAAUACAGCGCAUUGAAUACGUCUGUCAGAUACGACCUGCUGAUUAAAUGCAAUGGCUGACGUGGGUUGAGAAAAAAGAUGCCUUCUGUUAAUUGAGAUUGGAAAGACGUGGUUUAUAUGGCCUCCCAUCUGAAAUAUAUGACUCUGGGUGGCUAACAGUAUUAAAAAUGCUAAAAACAUAUACAAAAAAUAUAAAACACAUAGCAGCCGAUAAAAUUAUAAAAGCAACAAUCAGCAUUCAGUAUAACCAGGAAACAGGCUCCGUCACACACCCUGGGCUCCAAGCUCAGGCACAAAGCCAAGUCCUGAGGGCCUUGCGUACCUUUAUGUUUGUAUUUGUCCUUUUUUUUAAAAAAAUAUAUUUUUAUUAAAACUUUUGAACAAGAAGAUUAAAAACUAACCCAAACUAAU